UGAGGAAUAUUGGUCAAUGGGCGGGAGCCUGAACCAGCCAAGCCGCGUGAGGGAGGAAGGCCCUAUGGGUCGUAAACCUCUUUUGUCAGGGAACAAAAGCGAGUAUGUAUACUAGUCUGAGUGUACCUGAAGAAAAAGCAUCGGCUAACUCCGUGCCAGCAGCCGCGGUAAUACGGAGGAUGCGAGCGUUAUCCGGAUUUAUUGGGUUUAAAAGGGCGCGUAGGCGGCGGUGCAAGUCAGCGGUAAAAGCCCGGGGCUCAACCCCGGCGAGCCGUUGAAACUGCAGUGCUAGAGAAGGCGAGAGGUACGCGGAAUGCGCAGUGUAGCGGUGAAAUGCUUAGAUAUUGCGCAGAACUCCGAUUGCGAAGGCAGCGUACUGGCGCCUGACUGACGCUGAGGCACGAAAGCGUGGGGAUCGAACAGGAUUAGAUACCC
rnacentral:rRNA from 1 species